AAACUGCGAAUGGCUCAUUAAAUCAGUUAUCGUUUAUUUGAUAGUACCUCACUACAUGGAUAACCGUGGUAAUUCUAGAGCUAAUACAUGCUAAAAGCCCCGACUCCGGAAGGGGUGUAUUUAUUAGAUAAAAAACCAAUGCCCUUCGGGGCUGCGUGGUGAAUCAUAAUAACUUCACGAAUCGCAUGGCCUUGCGCCGGCGAUGGUUCAUUCAAAUUUCUGCCCUAUCAACUUUCGAUGGUAGGAUAGUGGCCUACCAUGGUUUCAACGGGUAACGGGGAAUUAGGGUUCGACUCCGGAGAGGGAGCCUGAGAAACGGCUACCACAUCCAAGGAAGGCAGCAGGCGCGCAAAUUACCCAAUGCCGACACGGCGAGGUAGUGACAAUAAAUACUGAUCCAGGGCUCUUUCGGGUCUUGGAAUUGGAAUGAGUACAAUUUAAAUCCCUUAACGAGGAACAACUGGAGGGCAAGUCUGGUGCCAGCAGCCGCGGUAAUUCCAGCUCCAGUAGCGUAUAUUAAAGUUGUUGCAGUUAAAAAGCUCGUAGUUGAACCUUGGGCCUGGCUGGCCGGUCCGCCUCACCGCGUGUACUGGUCCGGCCGGGCCUUUCCUUCUGGGGAGCCGCAUGGCCUUCACUGGCCGUGCCGGGGAACCAGGACUUUUACUUUGAAAAAAUUAGAGUGUUCAAAGCAGGCCUUUGCUCGGAUACAUUAGCAUGGAAUAAUUGAAUAGGACGUGCGGUUCUAUUUUGUUGGUUUCUAGGACCGCCGUAAUGAUUAAUAGGGAUAGUCGGGGGCAUCUGUAUUCAAUUGUCAGAGGUGAAAUUCUUGGAUUUAUUGAAGACAAACUACUGCGAAAGCAUUUGCCAAGGAUGUUUUCAUUAAUCAGGAACGAAAGUUAGGGGAUCGAAGACGAUCAGAUACCGUCGUAGUCUUAACCAUAAACUAUGCCGACUAGGGAUCGGUGGAUGUUACUAUUUUGACUCCAUCGGCACCUUACGAGAAAUCAAAGUUUUUGGGUU
rnacentral:rRNA from 1 species